rnacentral:lncRNA from 1 species
AAACACCCUUUACGAUGACUCUCCAUCAUCUACCAAAUAAGGUGAAGCAUCCAAUUCCACCAUUAUCUCUGCCUUUCUAGAUCCAAGCAUCAACAAAGUUCUAUUAAGAGCUUAAGUUAGCAAGCACUAAAGGUUAAGUUUUCUUUGCAAUUUUCUUACUAUUUUCAUUCUAGAGUCCAAAUUCUUUCUGGCAAAAAAAGCUUAAAAAGGAAUUAAAGGUGCUAUCUUGCCUUACAACCACAGAUAUUUCAUUCUCAUUUGCUUGGCAAAGAAAGCCAAAAGAGAGGAAGUAGGCAAGGAAGACUGAACUAUAAAUACGUGUCAUUUUCUCUAUCUUUCUCUAAAUUUUCAAAGUUUUAAAAACUAGUUCAUCCCUUCUUAGUAUUUUAGCCUUCUUUUGUGCUUACAACUAGGCCUUUUAAUCACACUCCUUGCUAAACAAGCUUGGAGACACUCUUUCCAGAGAAAGUUGUCUCACAAAAGAAACAUGGGUAAGGAAGUUCUUCACAAACAGAAUUUCAUGGAUACAAAAGACAUAAAUCAAGUGCAUCUUGGACAUGAAAGGAUAUACUGUUUGGAAGGGAUCCAUGUUCAAGGGGAACAGACCACCGAAUCUAGGGUGGCAAACAUCUAUAUUUCAGGAGGGCAGAUUGAUUUUCAAGGAGCAUAAUGAGGUUCUAAGAAUAAAAAAAAAGGAGCAUAAUGAUAUCAAUAGCAAUCAAAGUUUGGUCCCUACAAGGAACCUUAUGACAGUACAAAGGGGCAAAAUCUUGAAGAGAUCGAACCAACAGAAACAAGCCAUGACAUGAUGAAGGAUAAGGUGUUCUGUAUGGCGGGAAUGAUAAGAGCUUUUCGGCAGUACCACUUAUCAGGGAAGUACACUGUCAAAAACCGCUUUUCACCUACUUACAAAUGGGGAGAUUAUGAUUGCCUUUCAAGAUUAUCCUCUUUCUUCUAAUGAUCUUCCUUGUACAUGAGAUAGGGAAACGGAUAUAGACUGUCAACUUGCACACUUCCUCGUGUCAUGAAGAGCAAGAGUCAGCAGACCACCUUUUUCUUUUCUGCAAUCUCGCACGAGUAGCAUGGUUUGGAUCUAAUAUCAGCUUGUGAGUAUUAGAACUACCCUAACAGAACGUGAGUAUGAUCCACCAUAAUUGGACAACUGAAAAGGAGUAUAACAUACCAGAGCAAAUUGCGAGUCUAUUAUGGUGCAUUUGACUUCAAAGUUUGAGAAACAGAAGGUUAACCCUAUGGCAACUAUUUAUCAAGCAAAAGAGUUAGCAUGUCAGUGGAGCAAGGCAUUUAACGAGGAAACACAUGCCCAUGAUACAAACAACCUGGUAGGAAAGAAGGCUCACCCGAACUUCACAAUGCAUUUUAACCAUCAUCAAGUUUACAUGCCACGGCAGAAAGGAGAAAUAAAAAGGGAUAUGGUUCGGCGUUCCAUUUCAAAGAUAAGAGAAAUGCUAGUUUGAGCUCUUACUCUCUUUUUGAACACUAAUCACAUAACACUUGCAAAACUUUACCUACUACUCUAGGUUCUCUAUUAGCAAAAAAGCUGAACGCCAUUUAUCUGCCAUGCAAGCCAGCUGAUAAAUUGUUACAAAUGGUUUUGCAGGGAGACAAGGGGAGAAUGCAUUGGAAGUAUGAUCUUAUCUUGUCGAGCAUUAGCAAAUUAUGCAGCAAUGUGAUCUUCCAACAAAACACCAGCGAUGACACCAGCAACUGGACGGAGUCAAGAAAUAGGCAAG